rnacentral:lncRNA from 1 species
UUCUUCUCUUUCUCUACUCAAUUGGAUCUCCAUUAGUAGACGCCGUUAGAAAAUUAUGAAAUUGGAGCAUUUUGAAGCUUAAAUAGCGGAUCAUGUUCAACGAUAUCAAUCAUUGAUAUGAAUACCCUUUUACCGGAAACUAUGUAAAAGUAUGCGCCCUCCGUUCACUUUUAGAAGUAUUCUAGCUUUAUUUAAAAAGAAAUGUAAGACUUUAGUUGUGAUUGCUAGUAGAGGAUGGUGCACGCCCCUAAAAAAGUGGGGCAGGAAAGUAUUCACUUUUGCUUCAAUAAGUGAUAAGUUGUUCUCCAUAUUGUACUGAUUAUUCUAUAGUCCCACUAAAAAAAGGAGAAGUACUACAUCUAGGGGUGGAAACGAGCCGAGCUCGAGCGAGCUUAUCUCGGCUCAAAUUCGGCUUGAAAUUAAUUUCGAGCCUAAAUUUAAGCUCAAGCUUAGAUUGAAAUUAAUUCGAGCCGAGCUCGAGCGAGCCUAAUUUUGAGUCGAGCGAGCUCGAGCCCUAAACGAGCCGCUUGUAAUUCUCAACAUCAUACGAUCAAUAGUUUAAUUUGUAUAGAACAUUNAUGAGUUAAAUUAAUCAUUUUAUAUUUUUUAUAUUAUUUGGUAAAAUAUUUCUUUGGGGAAGACAUUUCUGCAUAAUGCACUCUUGGAGGGAUAUAUUUAUAAAUGCAAAAAUAUCAUUUUACUUAUCCGCUGUUAAAAAAUAAACCGCCUCUAACGAUAACAAACUAGAGGGUAAAUUUAUAUGAAUAUCACUGGACUUUUGUAGGGAUAAAAAUAAAAAUUUUAACUUAUAAAAAUAAAAAAUUUAACUUUAUAGGGAUAUAUUUGCUAUUCGAUAUGUUUACAGAGACUCAGAGAGCUGUAUGCAAUUAAUCCAUUUUUUUAAUAGCACUAUUUAAAUAACACUAUUAAAUAAU